AAAUUGAUCCUAGAUUUUAAUCGAAUGCAGGCUAAGUAAAUGCUUAUCUUGGAUUAUUCAAUAUGAAACAUUAAAAUUUCUUCAUCUUUGAAUAUAUUUUUGUUAGGCAGUAGAGCACUGUAUUUAGUUAGGAAUAGAAUUUGGGAAUCUGUAUUCCAUGAAUGCUAUUAAUAUUUUAGAUUGUAAUCUAAUAAAAUUUCAUCUUAUCCUAUUGCUUUUCUUAACCACCCCCCAGCAAUCAAGUACAUAGUCUUAACAUCUGAGGCUAAGAAAAAAGGAGUUCAUCUAUUGCACAAGUGUUUUUCAAUACAUUUUUUAAAACUUGGAGGAGAUGGUGGUGGGGGGUGGUGGUGCUUCAUGUAAUUUUAUAGGACCUCUGAGGCCCAGAGUUUUUAAGUAAUCUUUUUUGAUGUUUCUCUUCAUUUUUGUUUUUGUUUUUCUGCUACAAUGAUACUACCUGGAUUUAUAAUAUCUUUAUCCUAUUUAAAGCAUUACUGUAAAAUAUUUAUCGUAUGUUGAUAGUUUUUGGAGGUGGGGCCUUUGGGAGGUAAUUAGGCUUAGAUAAUGUAGUCAACAUUGGGCCCCUAUUAUGGUACUGGUUGUUUUAAGCCUACAAAAUGAAUCUUUAAAGCCAGUUUCAAGUGUACUUCAUUGUGAGUAAGAGAAGCUUCAGAAUCCAAUAUUAUCUCACCAGAAAGCCACGUCCUCAGAAAAUGCAGACAAUUUCAUUGGUUGUCAUUCUUUUAUCUUUAAGCCUUCAACUCAACUCAUGGACUUACUUAUUUCUGAGAACCCUUUACAAGUCACAGUAUCCUGUAAUCAUCUCACAAACUAAGUACAGUGUUUACGCAUCACUUCACAUUUCCAACCUGAAAUACUAAAUAUGGCAUAGCACUUGUGUUACACAGAAGCCCAAGAAUAAGAAAUAAAUAAUAUUUACAUUCCAAUAUUAGUUUGAACCAAUAACUAAGGUAAGGUCUUGGCUUGGCCUUAUUGAAAAUUAUUGUCCCUGCUAUGGAAGGAAAGGGUUUAGUCACUGAAAAACCUGCAGGACCUGGCUAAUAUAUAAUAUAUAAUGAGUUCAUAUUGGUUCUUCCAAGACAACUGUAGGGCUAGAGACCUUUUGUUUAUUCUCAAAUAGCUUAAAUCUGUAUCCACUUUCUUUCGUAUUAAGAAUCCUAGUUCCGAUGAGGAACAUUAGGAAACCUUCACUUGGCCCCUGUAAUUCUUUCUUAGCACCCUGUAUAUUUCCUUCACAGCACUUGCCACAAUUUGUGCCUUUAUAUUGUUUUAUUUAUUUAUUGAUGUAAUAUCUAUCUCCUUUCCUCCAACCUACUUGAAGGCAGGACCAUAUCUGUCUUAAUCAAGGCUUCUUCUAACACCAAGAGCUCUGGCAAGAUUAGAAAAUGUGCCCACUGAUGUCCCACCGACUGAGCAUAUUUUGCAGGGCACAAUCUGUUUCCCCAGAUCUUACGACAGGUCUUGACACCUAAGAGCAAUAUCUUAUUUGUUGAAUGAAAUCAUAAAAUAUAAUCGUCUUCUCUUCUGAGAUACUUUUCUUUCUGCCAAUUUGGAUUACAUAGUUCCCCCAGGUCUCAAGGCCUCAGUGAUCUUUUGCCUUAAGAAACUCUCAGAAAUGACAUUUGGGAAUUACUUGGAUAUUAGGUACCUAUGCUAUUCUUCUGUUGUAUGUCCUUUAAAUAGCUUUUUGUCUUUUUCCCAAAUUAUAUGAUUAUUUGUAUAUGUCCAAAAAAUUAAAGCUUAGAGCAACAUUGGUGGGAAAUGGGAACUUAUAACCAUGUUAGUACUGAAAUAGUAGCAAAGGCAGAUUGCUGCAGUGGAGGGUGCCUGUAAUCCCAGCUACUUGGAAGGCUGAAGUGGAAGAAUUGCUUGAGCCCAGGAGUCUGAGGCUGCAGUAAA
rnacentral:lncRNA from 1 species